rnacentral:rRNA from 1 species
AGCGAACGCUGGCGGUAGGCCUAACACAUGCAAGUCGAACGGCAGCACAGGAGAGCUCGCUCUCUGGGUGGCGAGUGGCGGACGGGUGAGGAAUACAUCGGAGCCUACUCUGUCGUGGGGGAUAACGUAGGGAAACUUACGCUAAUACCGCAUACGACCUACGGGUGAAAGCAGGGGACCUUCGGGCCUUGCGCGAUUGAAUGAGCCGAUGUCGGAUUAGCUAGUUGGCGGGGUAAAGGCCCACCAAGGCGACGAUCCGUAGCUGGUCUGAGAGGAUGAUCAGCCACACUGGAACUGAGACACGGUCCAGACUCCUACGGGAGGCAGCAGUGGGGAAUAUUGGACAAUGGGCGCAAGCCUGAUCCAGCCAUACCGCGUGGGUGAAGAAGGCCUUCGGGUUGUAAAGCCCUUUUGUUGGGAAAGAAAUCCAGCUGGCUAAUACCCGGUUGGGAUGACGGUACCCAAAGAAUAAGCACCGGCUAACUUCGUGCCAGCCGCCGCGGUAA